UCCUGGCUCAGGAUGAACGCUAGCUACAGGCUUAACACAUGCAAGUCGAGGGGCAGCAUGGUCUUAGCUUGCUAAGGCUGAUGGCGACCGGCGCACGGGUGAGUAACACGUAUCCAACCUGCCGUCUACUCUUGGCCAGCCUUCUGAAAGGAAGAUUAAUCCAGGAUGGGAUCAUGAGUUCACAUGUCCGCAUGAUUAAAGGUAUUUUCCGGUAGACGAUGGGGAUGCGUU
rnacentral:rRNA from 1 species